GAGCAACUUAGGAUUUUAGGCUCCGCCGCGCUUUGCGCGGCGACAAACCGGCACGGGGCUGGCGGUCCCGCGCGCGGUCAAAAUCUAUCCCGCCGGAG
rnacentral:ncRNA from 1 species